GGCAGGGUAGCUCAGGUGGUUAGAGCACGGGACUCAUAAGCCCGGGGUCGGCGGUUCAAGUCCGCCUCCUGCUACCA
rnacentral:tRNA from 1 species